GACGAACGCUGGCGGCGUGCUUAACACAUGCAAGUCGAACGGAAAGGCCCUGCUUUUGUGGGGUGCUCGAGUGGCGAACGGGUGAGUAACACGUGAGUAACCUGCCCUUGACUUUGGGAUAACUUCAGUAAACUGGGGCUAAUACCGGAUAGGAGCUCCUGCUGCAUGGUGUGGGUUGGAAAGUUUCGGCGGUUGGGGAUGGACUCGCGGCUUAUCAGCUUGUUGGUGGGGUAGUGGCUUACCAAGGCUUUGACGGGUAGCCGGCCUGAGAGGGUGACCGGCCACAUUGGGACUGAGAUACGGCCCAGACUCCUACGGGAGGCAGCAGUGGGGAAUAUUGCACAAUGGGCGGAAGCCUGAUGCAGCAACGCCGCGUGCGGGAUGACGGCCUUCGGGUUGUAAACCGCUUUCGCCUGUGACGAAGCGUGAGUGACGGUAAUGGGUAAAGAAGCACCAGCUAACUACGUG
rnacentral:rRNA from 1 species